ACCUCCUACGGGGGGCAGCAGUCGGGAAUAUUGCGCAAUGGAGGAAACUCUGACGCAGUGACGCCGCGUAUAGGAAGAAGGUUUUCGGAUUGUAAACUAUUGUCGUUAGGGAAGAUAAAAGACUGUACCUAAGGAGGAAGCCCCGGCUAACUACGUGCCAGCAGCCGCGGUAAUACGUAGGGGGCAAGCGUUAUCCGGAUUUACUGGGUGUAAAGGGAGCGUAGACGGCAGCGCAAGUCUGGAGUGAAAUGCCGGGGCUCAACCCCGGAACUGCUUUGGAAACUGUGCAGCUAGAGUGCGGGAGG
rnacentral:rRNA from 1 species